rnacentral:rRNA from 13 species
AUAAAGAGGGGUAAAGAAUUUGGCAAUUAAGUUGUAGAACUUAGGGAUAACAAUGGUGUUUAUCGACCGACUGUAUAUCAAAUACACAGGGUUUAGUUAAAGAUGUUUAUAUUUUAGAGCUGAUAUGUGACCACUAUUUAUAAGCGCGUUUCUGCUGUGACAAAGGUUGGCUGUAACAAUAACGGUCCCAAGGUAGCG